rnacentral:rRNA from 1 species
UCGAGCGNNGUUGUUUAGAAGCUUGCUUCUAAACNACCUAGCGGCGGACGGGUGAGUAACACGUAGGCAACCUGCCCACAAGACUGGGAUAACUACCGGAAACGGUAGCUAAUACCCGAUACAUCCUUUUNCUGCAUGGGANAAGGAGGAAAGACGGAGNAAUCUGUCACUUGUGGAUGGGCCUGCGGCGCAUUAGCUAGUUGGUGGGGUAAAGGCCUACCAAGGCGACGAUGCGUAGCCGACCUGAGAGGGUGAUCGGCCACACUGGGACUGAGACACGGCCCAGACUCCUACGGGAGGCAGCAGUAGGGAAUCUUCCGCAAUGGGCGAAAGCCUGACGGAGCAACGCCGCGUGAGUGAUGAAGGUUUUCGGAUCGUAAAGCUCUGUUGCCAGGGAAGAACGUCUUGUAGAGUAACUGCUACAAGAGUGACGGUACCUGAGAAGAAAGCCCCGGCUAACUACGUGCCAGCAGCCGCGGUAAUACGUAGGGGGCAAGCGUUGUCCGGAAUUAUUGGGCGUAAAGCGCGCGCAGGCGGCUCUUUAAGUCUGGUGUUUAAUCCCGAGGCUCAACUUCNGGUCNCNCUGGANACUGGGGAGCNUGAGUNNNGAAGAGGAGAGUG